UGGGCUAUCGCCAAGCGGUAAGGCACAGGACUUUGACUCCUGCAGUCGCUGGUUCGAAUCCAGCUAGCCCAGUCA
rnacentral:tRNA from 2 species